rnacentral:lncRNA from 1 species
UGGUCAAGGACUCAAGGUUAAGAAUGAUUUGCUGAUCAUAAAGAUGUAUAAAAACCAUCUUCUGUUAGAACCAAAUAAUGGAAGCAUACUUUUUAAAAUUGACUUGUUUAUUUUUGAGAGUAAGUCUUGAUCAGUGAAGAUUUUUGUCCAGGGCUAAUGUGGUAUGGGAAUUGAACUCAAGACCUUCGGAAGAGCGCUGGUGCUCUUACCCACUGGGCCACUUUGCCAGCCUCACCCCCACCCCGUCUCACUUUUUUUUUUUUUUUAAAGAUUUUAUUUAUUUGAGUCCACUGUGGGUAUUGGAUUCCAUUACAGAUGGUUGUGAGCCACCAUGUGGUUGAUGGGAAUUGAAUUCAGGACCUCUGGAAGAGCACUGCCAUCUCUCCAGUCCCCGUCUCACUCUUGAGAUUCAUUUUUGUACACUACCUGAUACACUUUGAACCCAGCUUGGGCUUGGUAGCUCAUGCUACUUAUUUCUUCACUCAGGAGGCUGACUGAGGCAGGAUUAUAGCAAGUUCACAGUUACACCUUGAGAUUCUUUCUACAUCAUCUGUCUUACUCCCAUUCAUACUUCCUAAAAGGGGAGAGAGGAGCAUGAUAUAGUACAUGUCUGUAAUCCUAGCACACUGGGACACCGAGGCAGGAGGAUGAUAAAUUUGAGGCCAGCCUAUGCUGUCAGAUUUUUCUAUCAAACACAAGUAUUUGGGGCCAAGUGAAAUGUUAAAAUUGAUUUGUACAACUUCAUGCUGGGUCCAGGGAUGGUUAAUAACAAGAGCCAGUCCUCAUCCUUUGUCCCCCAUUACCAGCAGGGUCCUACUACAUAGGCAUGCACCACCACACCCAGCUUUUCUUUUUCUUUUUUUACUUUUUUUUUUUCCAGAUGGGUAAUAUGCCCACACCUGAACAAGGUUUAGGGGAGGUACAUAUUCUGUGAACACCCAGUCAUUGUGAUUAUGAACCAAAUAAGGAUCUCCCACACUGCUCUUGUAACUGCUAUCUUUCUAGCCUCCUGCCUGUACUUUUUUCUAGUGAUUCGCUAAUACAUAUUAAAGAGUGUCUAACUCGU